rfam:Helianthus annuus linkage group 16, whole genome shotgun sequence.
GUUGCUUCAUAAAUGGUGAAAUCUCUCAAAAUUAAAUGAGAGAAUUUCAAGUUUCCGGAGCAUAUAUUUAGUAUUAUUACUAUUAUAUAUCACCAGUAUUAAACAGCUCCAUGUGUGUAUACAAUUGCAUCGGCGUUACCUGUCUCCUGGAACAUUG